rnacentral:tRNA from 1 species
GCGCCGAUAGUUCAGAGGCAGAAUAAUGGCCUUCCAAGCCAUUGACCUGGGUUCAAAUCCCAGUCGGCGCA